AAUUCGGGAGGAAGGAGCUUCUUUUUCUGGUUCUGAUGUGCCAUUUUUUUUUUUUCUUACGCAGAUCACGGCCCGUGGUGCUCGGACCCAGUCUGAUCACCACCCGGAUGUAGCCCUCUGGGUAUGGACACCACGGUUCCUGCCACCUGUUGGCAAUCGGACUUCCAGUGCCCCAGCUCUCUGCACACUGGCCCACCAGCCUUGGCCCAUCUGCACCUGCAGGAUGCUUCCUGUUUCCAUGGCUGCUGUGAACCAGCUGAGCUUCGCACAAUCUGCAAAAUUCUUCACUAUCCUGCAAGUACUGUCUCCAGCGAGGUCUGAGUCCCGGCCGUGAGGAAGAAGCCCUCCUUCCAGGGGUGUCCAUUCUUGGCUACGCGCCUUCAGCCUCGGGAUUUUCUCGCGUUCUCUUUUCAUCUUCACAGUUCCUCCCCUAUUGCAGUUAAUACUUCUUUAUAUGAAAUUUUCCUGUUCAGACACCUGGCUGGUUUGUGCCUUCCAAUUGGACCAGAGCCCAUAGUUCCAGAUGUCUGUACCAUGAUUAAAAGUCCUUCUCCCACUGAGAUACUUAAAACCCUCCUACCUGAUGUCUGCGGUGCUUUGGAAACGGAGCAGGCCCCUGUGCUCACCCCACCCCCGCCACAUCCUCCACCUGCCUUUCGUCUGCAGAAAAACUUCAAAGAAUAAGUUUAAUCAGAAAAGUGAGAAAACGCAGGCGCAGAGGAAAGCAGUCCAACGAGACCAAGUCACAACAUUUAGUCACGAAGCAAAGGCAAGGACUUCAGUUCCUCUCAGGGGCUGUGGGUCACCUUCUGAGCCGUGUCCUGAGAGCUGCCUUGUCGACACUGAAACCCCACCCGCUGGAAGACGUUAGCGGCGUGAUGACCAGACUGGGGCCAUGACAUUGCUGCCACAGUUCCCAGAAGUGGCCUCAAAGAAGCGGGAACAAACCGACCCUGGAACUGAAGACAAACUGUGCUUGACACAGUCAAGAGGCUGCUGCUCAGAUCACCCGACCAACUGCGAGGUGACGGCGGAGCGGACGGCGCUGUUUCCGCACGCAGCCCCCGCCCUCCGCCGUAAAACCUCUUGCCCCCCGAUUGUCAGUCUUUGGACAGGAGGCCCCCUCCGUGCUGCCGGCCUCCGAAAUAAAGCAACCUCACCUCUUUAUUGUCUUCAGAGCCGCGAGCGGCUGGGCCCCACUUUCAGUCAAGCUGCCACCUGCCGCCGUAACCACCGCAGCCCUAGGAGGGGUUUCACAUCUGUUGGUCUUAGUUCCCGCUUCCUCCUGUUGCUCUCUUUGGGAUUUUUUUU